UUUAGGGGGUGUAGGGAUGUAAGCAGUAGUGUAAUAGUAAAUCAGAUGGGCUAAUGGCUUUGAGAGCCCAAAACAUGAAGCCAAGAGGGAGAAGAGAUCAGAAGAAAUAAUCUUCACGCUUCAUUCAUAUUAUCUCCUCACCUGAGACCAAUAUCCCACCGCGUCGGAUAUCGCCUCUGGCGGUGACAGAGGUCCAAACACUUCCCAACUUAACUCUAACCACUUGUGUACCCUCCCUCUCUCUCAUUCUCACAUUAAAAUCUAUGAAUGCCUCACCAAUAUUCCCUAAGUGUUCAAUUCAAGAUUAAAUGACCAUUGCAGACGGAUUGGAGCCUAAACCUUAGGGGUUUGGCUCCCCAUGCUACAUUGUAGUGAAUGCUUUAGAGUGAAAAGAGGGAGAAGCAAUGGAAGGCUUACCUGCCAAAGUAGCUUCGACGACUCUUCAAGAUUGGCGUUUGUCAAAGAAAGCCAGAGAUCUUCUUCUCUAGAUUUUUGCCAAAUGGAAAGAUGGCCCUCAAAGUAAGGAUUGCAACCUUACGUGGUCAUGAGAUCAAUUAGCAUGAAGUGGAACUGUUUUGAGGAAAUGAAGAAAGAAGUCCAUGGAUUAGGAUUUAGGAUUAGAAAGUUGACUUUGGUCAACCGUUUGACCAAAAAGUCAGUUGUAGGUCACAAAGUGUAAUUUUGUGUGAAAUUUGAUUUUGAAUUUCUUGUAUUAAAAUAUUUGAUGGAUUUGUAAUGAAAUGGAUCUUGAAUGGUAUAUGUAUGGUUUGAUUCUUUAAGAGAAAAUUAAUUUCCCUCAAAGACUUGAAUUUGAAAAUGAAUAUUUGAAAUUGUAUUGACUUCUUGAAUGAA